rnacentral:rRNA from 1 species
AUUGAACGCUGGCGGCAUGCUUUACACAUGCAAGUCGAACGGUAACAGGUUAAGCUGACGAGUGGCGAACGGGUGAGUAAUGCAUCGGAACGUGCCCGGUCGUGGGGGAUAACGCAGCGAAAGCUGCGCUAAUACCGCAUACGAUCUAAGGAUGAAAGCGGGGGACCGUAAGGCCUCGCGCGAUCGGAGCGGCCGAUGUCAGAUUAGGUAGUUGGUGGGGUAAAGGCUCACCAAGACAACGAUCUGUCGCUGGUCUGAGAGGACGACCAGCCACACUGGGACUGAGACACGGCCCAGACUCCGACGGGGGGCAGCAGUGGGGAAGUUUGGACAAGGGGCGAAAGCCUGAUCCAGCAAUGCCGCGUGCAGGAAGAAGGCCUUCGGGUUGUAAACUGCUUUUGUACGGAGCGAAAAGGUCUCCUCUAAUACAGGGGGCUCAUGACGGUACCGUAAGAAUAAGCACCGGCUAACUACGUGCCAGCAGCCGCCGUAA